CACUUCCCUACCUCUGUGUCAGGCACCAUGAAGGCUGGCUUAGUACCGUCUAGAAAGAUUUUGAGCACCUGAGGGAAAACCUUCUAGAAAUGCCCUGGGAUGUGAAGAAAGAGCAAGACCAAGAAAGGACAAGCUGGCGGCCAUCCACAGGAUUAACUGAGUCGAUAAACCUCGGACCCCGGUGGAGCUGGAGAAAGUGGGGCCUAAAGCCAGAAAGGAUGAUCCCAUUCAAACUGCGAGAGGACAAAAGCAGCUGUCUUUCCAGGGGCUGAAAACAAAAGCAUCAAACCUCCAUGUAAACCUCAACAAACCGGGAGCACGCAGGGGAAAGAGGCAUAAGAAUCCCAGCAAGUGAAGAAGCGGGCAUUGCACUAAAUAUUUCCACCUCUGUGUGAGCAUCUGGAGAAAGAGUAAAGUCAGCAUGCCUGCUGCAUUUUAGGGCAUGUCUUAUUUUAAGGUGCUUUUCUUUAAAAAGCCAGAGCUCUCAGUGGGCUUUUUGGUGUUGCUUGUUCCCUGUGUCUCUGCCUCCUGUUGACAUUGGCCAGCUGGUCAAGGUCACAGAGGGCAGGUGCCUGUCCAUAGUCCUCCGCCUGCCAGGAGGCCCUGAGUGGCCCGCCUUCUGCCCUCCCUGUGCUCCAACCAGUGCUGUCCUUUGGUGUGAAAGCCACCCUGGCCUUGAGUGACUCAAGCUCCACCCAACAUCAGGGCCUCGGCAGGCUCUCCACCUGCUUGAUGUGUGCUGCCCUCUUCCCACCUGCCUGGUGUGUGCUGCCCUCUUCCCUUGGCGCACUGCUGGCACCCUGUACAUCUCACAGUUCUAACCACUUGUUUGUGUGGUAAUGUCUAUUCCCCACAUGACAGAGCUUCCUGAAGACUGUGGCCAUAUUUACUAUGUCCAUCGCUGCGUCCAGUGAUUGGCUGGAUCACAGCAUUUCUUUGAGGGACCAAUGCUGCCAGUUAUCAAUGAACCGAUAGCUUCAGGAGGAAUGAUUUGAAAUGUUCAUAGGCAUUAAUGUUUCAGCAAGGUUAUAGAAAAUUCAAUCAUUACAAUGACAAUGUCACAUGUAAGUUGAAUUUGGGGUGUCAUGCAUUUUGGCCCAGCCGAGGGUUUUUAUAAAUGUUACAGUGACUCUCUGCCUUUCAGUGAAUGAACUUCCGAGUUGGUCAUCUUUCUUGUCUUUCAAAUGGUCUUACUUGUUUUGACUCAGGAAUUGUCUCCUUGUGUGGAAGAGAGAGGGAGACGCAGUUCAUUUAUAGUUUGCAACAUAACACAAAAAAUGUACUUCCCAUUUACUGACGCCAGAGCACUUUUCAAGAUGUCAUGCAAAUGUGUGUGCAUCCAUGACAACUUCCCUUAGUACCAUGUGAAUCAUGAAUCAUUAUAAAUGGAGCAAUUGAGUCACCUUGAUUCGGUUGCUGUUUGGGGAAAGAAACAAGAGAGUUUACCUCUCAGGGUGAAAGGAAAUGUGUUUUAUAAUUCAGAUGCCUGAGAAUUUUUCAGAUGGUCAGCAUUUCACAUGCAGAUGGAUUGGCUUUUUCCACAGGCAAAUUACAUUGACCAGGACUUGUGGAUAUCAAUGUGGAGACGAAACUUUCAUUUGAUGGAAUGACAAACUGAAGCUUGCCUGCGUGUGCAGGAUCAGAGGGUUCUGGGGAGUAUCCCAGGAGGGUGUGUACAGACAUACGUGAAACUUUCCUGCGUAGUACCCGUAAUUCCACCACUUUCUAUCCUGCAAAAGACAGCAAGUCAUCAAUCAAAUAAGGAAUGGAAUAUUGGCACUGAGAACCCAUGGGAGAGAGAGAGACACAUGUACCUUUAAUAAAAUCCUUAAUGCUUUGGACGUAAAAGAUCUAGAAGUCAAAGUGUACAACUGUCAGGUCAAAAAAUAGGUUGGUUAAAACAAUCUUUUAUAAAUGUUGUAGAUAGUCCACUAAAGAUAAUUUUUGGUUGGCCAAUAAUUUAUCAAUAAUCAAUGUGAAAUCAAUAAUUUUGCCUUAGUGCUGUUUGAAAACGGUGCUGGCAUGUAGUGCAUAUUCAGUAACUGUUUGUUGAACGAGUGAAUAAGUGCUGCCACGCGGUCCUGUUGCAUUCACAGACACUCCCUAACCGGCUGUUCCGAGCUGCGGCAUUCCAGGGCUGGGGGUGCCUGAGAGCUAUGGGACUUGUUUUCAGAACGGUGGGUUGCAAAGUUUGGCCCAGUAAUUCAGACUUCUGAAAAUAAUAACAUCAACAAGGAAUAGCCCUACCCCAGUCUGCGACUGA